rnacentral:lncRNA from 1 species
CUUCUGCCUGGAGAAUGUUGCUGAGAUACAGAAAAUACUGGGACAUGGCUUGUGGGACAUAGGAUUUACUAAGACUUAGUAGUACUGACAAGAAAGGAUAGGAUUAAUUGAAACUAACCACCAUGAGAAGCACACGUGAGUACAAUGGCACUGCUCCAUUUGAUAUUCCCUGAGUGGAAUGGCAGGAAGAAUCCAAAGAAUCUGAACUUUAAGCCUUGUAGGGUGGAAACUACAGAAGCAGGAUGUGGUCACAGCCAAAGGCAAUGCAUUACCUUUUAUGAAGCGGCUGAUAAGUGUUGCACGUCUUUUUUGUUAUGUUUUGUUUUAUCCAGUCCUUCUAAUAGUGAAUGCAUCAGGAAAUGUGUGUUUGUUUAGCAGCAAGUGUGUAGAGCAAAUUACCAUCCAGACUGCAGACAGAUAAUAAAGUUUAUUGUACCCACUUGAGAUUGUCUACAACUCACAGUGCCGAGAGGCUAAGGCGGAGAAACCUCAGUCAAACUCUGGAACUGUAAGUAAACUGUUACAAAACCCCAGUGUUUCGAUUAGGAAAGAGUGGU